ACAGGUCCUCCUGUAAAUCGCUGUCUCGGUCUAGACAUCCCUACAAAAUAGAAACAUUCGAUGGACUCGGCAAGAGGGACGGCAGAGGGCAACGCCAGCGAUGACAGAGCGGACUGCCCUACUGUAGGAGAGGCUGGUUGCAGAAGGCUGGUAGAAUGUCAAAACAAUUUUGCAUGUACUGUAUGUGUGUGUGUGUGUGUGUGUGUGAAUGCCCUAUUACAUUUAGGUGUGUGUUUGUGUCCGUGUUCUCUUGUGCAUGCGUGUCUGUGUGUGCGUUAAACAUUUGAUGUUGGGGCUGGUCUGUAAAGUCACUUUCAAUUUUCCUCUUUAGCAGUUUUAAAUGCAGAAGGGGUCCGGGUGAAUUGCUUAAAUAAAAACAAGAUUUAUUAGACUACUGAGGCACAAUUCUAUUUUCUCUGAACUCUUCUGAAAGGGUAGAAUAACUCAUAUUUCUCCAGUCCAAAGAAGGCGUCCAAGAAAAGGUCUCCACAGACCAGUGGGCAGGGUCAUGCCUGACGUAGCAACGCUUCACAAAUUACACAGACUCUACAUAAGUGGAUAACAUUUUCCCCUCUAAGCGCUAAUGUUCGUGCCCUGCCCCCGCCCCUAACUCCCAGUUCAAUCUAACUCAAAUUGCUUUUGAUUGGCUCGAAUUCAAACCUCCCUCUAAUUAAAAAAGAAUGUGUUUUAAUCUCAGUCUACUGCAGCCUACCUUUCUUUCGUGGGGAUCUGGAUUUAUGGGCCUACGGAAAAGUUAUAUUUUUUUAAAGCGAUGUGUGCAUUAGCCUCUGUUGCUAACGGUUAGCAAUAUGUCCUUGUCAUCACUGAAUCUUCCUGACAUCACGAAGCCUUUAUCCAGAGGGUUCUCCAUGAGCCGGGGGAGACUCAUCCAGGUACCAUCCAGGUCCCAUCCAGGUCCCAUCCAGGUACCAUCCAGAUCCCAUCCAGGUACCAUCCAGGUCCCAUCCAGGUACCAUCCAGGUCCCAUCCAGAUGGAAUGCAUCCAGGAAUUAAAGCAGCUUUGAAUGGAACCGUGCCAAGAAAUAAUUACACGUGUUUCUUACAGUUUGUGUUUCUGUGCAUAAGCUGUACAAUCCUUUAAUGGUUUCAUGUUACAAAGCACAGCAGUGUGUUGUGAGGCCUUUGAGCCCUGCUCAUCCUGUUAGUGCUGAGGCUGGACAUGUGGCGGUGCUCAGCAACCUGGACAACCUGAAACACCUGAAGCCCUGUUUGAUGCCUCCACGGCUCGUCUCUGGAAGCUGUGAGGGGUUUUUCAAUUGCAUUUCUGUUUCCCUUUGUA